rnacentral:rRNA from 1 species
UAGGGAAUCUUCCACAAUGGACGCAAGUCUGAUGGAGCAACGCCGCGUGAGUGAAGAAGGUUUUCGGAUCGUAAAGCUCUGUUGUUGGUGAAGAAGGAUAGAGGUAGUAACUGGCCUUUAUUUGACGGUAAUCAACCAGAAAGUCACGGCUAACUACGUGCCAGCAGCCGCGGUAAUACGUAGGUGGCAAGCGUUGUCCGGAUUUAUUGGGCGUAAAGCGAGCGCAGGCGGAAGAAUAAGUCUGAUGUGAAAGCCCUCGGCUUAACCGAGGAACUGCAUCGGAAACUGUUUUUCUUGAGUGCAGAAGAGGAGAGUGGAAUUCCAUGUGUAGCGGUGGAAUGCGUAGAUAUAUGGAAGAACACCUGUGGCGAAGGCGACUCUCUGGUCUGCAACUGACGCUGAGGCUCGAAAGCAUGGGUAGCGAACAGG